UACGUAGGGGGCUAGUGUUGUCCGGAUUUAUUGGGCGUAAAGAGCGUGUAGGCGGCCAGGUAGGUCUGCUGUGAAAACUCGAGGCUUAACCUCGAGAUGUCGGCGGAAACCAUCUGGCUAGAGUCCGGAAGAGGAGAGUGGAAUUCCUGGUGUAGCGGUGAAAUGCGCAGAUAUCAGGAAGAACACCCGUGGCGAAGGCGGCUCUCUGGGACGGUACUGACGCUGAGGCGCGAAAGCCAGGGGAGCAAACGGG
rnacentral:rRNA from 1 species